rnacentral:rRNA from 1 species
UGGGGAAUUUUGGGCAAUGGGGGAAACCCUGACCCAGCAACGCCGCGUGAAGGAUGAAGUAUUUCGGUAUGUAAACUUCGAAAGAAUAGGAAGAAUAAAUGACGGUACUAUUUAUAAGGUCCGGCUAACUACGUGCCAGCAGCCGCGGUAAUACGUAGGGACCAAGCGUUGUUCGGAUUUACUGGGCGUAAAGGGCGCGUAGGCGGCAUGACAAGUCACUUGUGAAAUCUCUGGGCUUAACCCAGAACGGCCAAGUGAUACUGUCGCGCUAGAGUGCAGAAGGGGCAAUCGGAAUUCUUGGUGUAGCGGUGAAAUGCGUAGAUAUCAAGAGGAACACCUGAGGUGAAGACGGGUUGCUGGGCUGACACUGACGCUGAGGCGCGAAAGCGUGGGGAGCAAACAGGAUUAGAUACCCCUGUAGUCCCUGAGCGGGCUGGCAAGGCGCAU